GAGUUUGAUCAUGGCUCAGAUUGAACGCUGGCGGCAGGCCUAACACAUGCAAGUCGAGCGGUAGCACAGAGAGCUUGCUCUCGGGUGACGAGCGGCGGACGGGUGAGUAAUGUCUGGGAAACUGCCUGAUGGAGGGGGAUAACUACUGGAAACGGUAGCUAAUACCGCAUAAUGUCGCAAGACCAAAGUGGGGGACCUUCGGGCCUCAUGCCAUCAGAUGUGCCCAGAUGGGAUUAGCUAGUAGGUGGGGUAACGGCUCACCUAGGCGACGAUCCCUAGCUGGUCUGAGAGGAUGACCAGCCACACUGGAACUGAGACACGGUCCAGACUCCUACGGGAGGCAGCAGUGGGGAAUAUUGCACAAUGGGCGCAAGCCUGAUGCAGCCAUGCCGCGUGUGUGAAGAAGGCCUUCGGGUUGUAAAGCACUUUCAGCGGGGAGGAAGGCGGUGAGGUUAAUAACCUCAUCGAUUGACGUUACCCGCAGAAGAAGCACCGGCUAACUCCGUGCCAGCAGCCGCGGUAAUACGGAGGGUGCAAGCGUUAAUCGGAAUUACUGGGCGUAAAGCGCACGCAGGCGGUCUGUCAAGUCGGAUGUGAAAUCCCCGGGCUCAACCUGGGAACUGCAUUCGAAACUGGCAGGCUAGAGUCUUGUAGAGGGGGGUAGAAUUCCAGGUGUAGCGGUGAAAUGCGUAGAGAUCUGGAGGAAUACCGGUGGCGAAGGCGGCCCCCUGGACAAAGACUGACGCUCAGGUGCGAAAGCGUGGGGAGCAAACAGGAUUAGAUACCCUGGUAGUCCACGCCGUAAACGAUGUCGAUUUGGAGGUUGUGCCCUUGAGGCGUGGCUUCCGGAGCUAACGCGUUAAAUCGACCGCCUGGGGAGUACGGCCGCAAGGUUAAAACUCAAAUGAAUUGACGGGGGCCCGCACAAGCGGUGGAGCAUGUGGUUUAAUUCGAUGCAACGCGAAGAACCUUACCUGGUCUUGACAUCCACAGAACUUUCCAGAGAUGGAUUGGUGCCUUCGGGAACUGUGAGACAGGUGCUGCAUGGCUGUCGUCAGCUCGUGUUGUGAAAUGUUGGGUUAAGUCCCGCAACGAGCGCAACCCUUAUCCUUUGUUGCCAGCGGUCCGGCCGGGAACUCAAAGGAGACUGCCAGUGAUAAACUGGAGGAAGGUGGGGAUGACGUCAAGUCAUCAUGGCCCUUACGACCAGGGCUACACACGUGCUACAAUGGCAUAUACAAAGAGAAGCGACCUCGCGAGAGCAAGCGGACCUCAUAAAGUAUGUCGUAGUCCGGAUUGGAGUCUGCAACUCGACUCCAUGAAGUCGGAAUCGCUAGUAAUCGUAGAUCAGAAUGCUACGGUGAAUACGUUCCCGGGCCUUGUACACACCGCCCGUCACACCAUGGGAGUGGGUUGCAAAAGAAGUAGGUAGCUUAACCUUCGGGAGGGCGCUUACCACUUUGUGAUUCAUGACUGGGGUGAAGUCGUAACAAGGUAACCGUAGGGGAACCUGCGGUUGGAUCACC
rnacentral:rRNA from 3 species